UACGAAGGACCCGAGCGUUAUCCGGAUUUACUGGGUUUAAAGGGUGCGUAGGUGGACCCAUAAGUCAGUGGUGAAAGCCCCCCGCUUAACGGGGGAACUGCCAUUGAUACUGUGGGUCUUGAGUAUAGUUGGGGUAGGCGGAAUAUGUCAUGUAGUGGUGAAAUACUUAGAUAUGACAUAGAACACCAAUUGCGAAGGCAGCUGGCUACGCGGAUAUUGACACUGAUGCACGAAAGCGUGGGGAUCAAACAGG
rnacentral:rRNA from 1 species